CAGGGCCAGACAUAGAUGACUGGGAAAAUGCUGGGAGACUAUGAGCCCUUUCCAGCCCUGCUGAAGAUUGCUGCCAGUGCAGCCACCUCCUUAUUAAAGCAUCGGUUUCCAGAAAAGCCUCGUUUACAAUGCAUGUUACCUGUGAAAAGUAGGUAACAAGUUACCUAUGAGAACUUAUCAUGGGAGAUUUGGUGGGAAGUUUGGAGGAAGAGGGGCUUUUCUGACCCCUCCUCAUUAGACAGGACAUGCCUGGUUUGGGCACAGUUAUGAAAAGUAUGAAGCAGCCAGCAGUGGUCACGAGACAUUAUGUGCCUAGUAAGACGAGGCAGUGGGUUUGCCAGAAGAAAAUCCGUUCUGCCGAAGGUGAAGCUUAAUUCAUCUUACACACGUCCAAAAAGAGGCUCAGAGGAUAACAUGUUUGCUGAGGAUGCCAACGCCAAUCACCAGACUAGAGCUGUCUAGACAGAGCACUGUGACUGCAGACUUUAAACAUUUCAUUUAUUUUCUUUCUAGCCUGGUAAGGGUAAGACACGUCUCAUUAUUACGAAUCAAUUAUAUUGUCGGAAGAAUGAAAGCCAUCAAAGGUAUCUUGCUCUGCCACCUAGUGGUGAGCUUUCACCUGCCUGUUACGGAGACAAGACUGAUGGCUCGCUGUCCAGGGCCAGCUCCAGGAACGUCGCGCGGGUGUCUACGGGGAUGGCUUGGACACGGGUUCUGUCCUCCAGACAAGGAUGAAGAGGAAUGGGAGCACCGGAGGACGUGGAACAUGAAAGAGCCUUGAUAAUCUCACACGGGAGGAAUUGGAGGCCUAAGUGCUGAGAGAACCACUCCACACCGUGAGUGACCACAUGGCACGUCUCCGUCCAUUCACGUUGUUAUAACAAAACUCCAUAGAGAGGGGGGGCUUCUAAACAGCAAUCAUUUAUUUCUCACAGUUUGGAGGCCAGAAGUCUGCAAUCAGGGCCCUUUCCCUGGUUCACAGCUGGUACCUUCUUGUGUGCUCACGUUGUGGAAGGGGGUAGGGAGCUCUAUGGGGCCCCUAUUAUGAAGGCACUAACCCCAUUCAUGAGGGCUCUACUCUCAUGACCUAAGCACCUCCCAGGGCUCCACCUCCUGAUGCCAUCAUCUUGGACGUUAGGAAUCCAGCAUAGGAAUUUGGCAAGGACACAAACAUUCAGGCCAGAGCACAGGAUAGGCCCCCAUCUCCGUGUCCCUGGCCCUGUGUACCUCCCCUCCUUGGUCACUUUUCCGUCCCCUUCUCUCUCUGGCCAGCUCUUUCACACUCCCCGCCAUCUGGUCACAUUCUGUGUACAGUAUGUAUUUAAUUAUUGGAGUAGAAGGCACUGUAAGCCAUGCCAGUUAUUAAAAUUUUAGGGCUGUGGGAAAAACCCUGACUUGGACUCAGCGUACCUGGCCAUCAGACCUGACUCUGAGACUGACUUCUAUGGCUGGAGAAGGGAGACAGUGUCAUCUGCUCUGCUUACCUCUCUGGGUGGGUCAUGUUCAAAUGAGACAAUAGGGGCGCCUGGGUGGCUAGUCGGUUAAGCGUCUGCCUUCGGCUCAGGGCCCUGGGAUCAAGUCCCACAUCGGGCUCCUUGCUCAGUAGGGAGCCUGCUUCUCCCUCUGCCUGCCACUCCCCCUGCUUGUGCUUUUUCUCUCUCUCUCUCUCUGACAAAUAAAUAAAAUCUUUUUUAAAAUGAGACA
ensembl:lncRNA